UGGCGGACGGGUGAGUAAUGUCUGGGAAACUGCCCGGUGGAGGGGGAUAACUACUGGAAACGAUAGCUAAUACCGCAUAACGUCGCAAGACCAAAGAGGGGGACCUUCGGGCCUCUUGCCACCGGAUGUGCCCAGAUGGGAUUAGCUUGUUGGUGAGGUAACGGCUCACCAAGGCGACGAUCCCUAGCUGGUCUGAGAGGAUGACCAGCCACACUGGAACUGAGACACGGUCCAGACUCCUACGGAAGGCAGCAG
rnacentral:rRNA from 1 species